ensembl:snRNA U6 U6 spliceosomal RNA
GUGGUCACUUCUGCAGCACAUAUACUAAAAUUGCAACCAUACAGGUAAGAUUAGCAUGACCCCCGUGCAAAGGUGACACGCAAAUGCAUGAAGCGUUCCGCAUUUUU